rnacentral:rRNA from 1 species
GCAGUCGACGGUGAAGAGAGCUUGCUCUCUGGAUCAGUGGCGAACGGGUGAGUAACACGUGAGCAAUCUGCCCCUGACUCUGGGAUAAGCGCUGGAAACGGCGUCUAAUACCGGAUACGAGCUGCGAAGGCAUCUUCAGCAGCUGGAAAGAACUUCGGUCAGGGAUGAGCUCGCGGCCUAUCAGCUAGUUGGUGAGGUAAAGGCUCACCAAGGCGUCGACGGGUAGCCGGCCUGAGAGGGUGACCGGCCACACUGGGACUGAGACACGGCCCAGACUCCUACGGGAGGCAGCAGUGGGGAAUAUUGCACAAUGGGCGCAAGCCUGAUGCAGCAACGCCGCGUGAGGGACGACGGCCUUCGGGUUGUAAACCUCUUUUAGCAGGGAAGAAGCGAAAGUGACGGUACCUGCAGAAAAAGCACCGGCUAACUACGUGCCAGCAGCCGCGGUAAUACGUAGGGUGCAAGCGUUAUCCGGAAUUAUUGGGCGUAAAGAGCUCGUAGGCGGUUUGUCGCGUCUGCUGUGAAAACUGGGGGCUCAACCCCCAGCCUGCAGUGGGUACGGGCAGACUAGAGUGCGGUAGGGGAGAUUGGAAUUCCUGGUGUAGCGGUGGAAUGCGCAGAUAUCAGGAGGAACACCGAUGGCGAAGGCAGAUCUCUGGGCCGUAACUGACGCUGAGGAGCGAAAGGGUGGGGAGCAAACAGGCUUAGAUACCCUGGUAGUCCACCCCGUAAACGUUGGGAACUAGUUGUGGGGUCCAUUCCACGGAUUCCGUGACGCAGCUAACGCAUUAAGUUCCCCGCCUGGGGAGUACGGCCGCAAGGCUAAAACUCAAAGGAAUUGACGGGGACCCGCACAAGCGGCGGAGCAUGCGGAUUAAUUCGAUGCAACGCGAAGAACCUUACCAAGGCUUGACAUAUACGAGAACGCUGCAGAAAUGUAGAACUCUUUGGACACUCGUAAACA